rnacentral:lncRNA from 1 species
AGGGUCAUCUGGUCGAUUUUGAAUAAAUCGUCAAUUCAUUUGACCAAUUUACCCUUUUAGGGCGAUCUGGUCAAUUUUGAAUAAAUUCUCAAUUUCAUUCAAUUCAUUUGACCAAGUUCCUGUUUUUAGGAUGAUUCGGUCAAUUUUGAGUAAGUUUUAAAUUUCACUCAAUUCAUUUGACCCGUUUCCCUUUUUAGGGUAAUCCGGUCGAUUUUUAAUAAAUUGUCAAUUUCAUUUGACCAAUUAGGGUUUCAAUGUCGGAUUUCAAAACUUAGUCGAUUUUUGAGAAAACCAUCCAUUGCAUCCAGCCAUUUGAUCAGUUAGGGUUUUGACC